rnacentral:rRNA from 1 species
GAUGAACGCUAGCGGCGUGCUUUAUGCACGCAAGUCGAACGGUCUCGAUUUAUCGAGAUAGUGGCGAACGGGUGAGUAACGCGUAAGUAACCUGCCCUUAAGUGGGGGAUAACUCUGGGAAACCGGAGCUAAUACCGCAGUGGUGGCAGGAGAUAUCCUGUCAUUAAAGCCUUCGGGCGCUUAAGGAGGGGCUUGCGUCCGAUUAGCUAGUUGGUAGGGUAAAGGCUUACCAAGGCGAUGAUCGGUAGCUGGUUUGAGAGGACGGUCAGCCACACUGGGACUGAGAUACGGCCCAGACUCCUACGGGAGGCAGCAGCAAGGGAUUUUGUGCAAUGGGCGAAAGCCUGACACAGCGACGCCGCAUGGGGGAUGAAGGCCUUCGGGUCGUAAACCCCUUUUCUCAGGGAAGAAUAAUGACGGUACCUGAGGAAUAAGCCUCGGCUAACUACGUGCCAGCAGCCGCGGUAAUACGUAGGAGGCGAGCGUUAUCCGGAUUUAUUGGGCGUAAAGAGGGCGUAGGCGGCUUUUCAAGUCGGAUGUAAAAUCUCCCGGCUCAACUGGGAGGGAUCAUUCGAUACUGUUGAGCUAGAGGGCAGCAGAGGGAGGUGGAAUUCCCGGUGUAGUGGUGAUAUGCGUAGAUAUCGGGAGGAACACCAGUGGCGAAGGCGGCCUCCUGGGCUGUUCCUGACGCUGAGGCCCGAAAGCGUGGGUAGCGAACAGGAUUAGAUACCCUGGUAGUCCACGCUGUCAACGAUGGAUACUAGGUAUGGGGAGUAUCGACCCUCUCCGUGCCGAAGCUAACGCUUUAAGUAUCCCGCCUGGGGAGACGGCCGCAAGGCU